GAUGAACGCUGGCGGCGUGCCUAGUACAUGCAAGUCGAGCGAACAGACGAGGAGCUUGCUCCUCUGACGUUAGCGGCGGACGGGUGAGUAACACGUGGAUAACCUACCUAUAAGACUGGGAUAACUUCGGGAAACCGGAGCUAAUACCGGAUAAUAUAUUGAACCGCAUGGUUCAAUAGUGAAAGACGGUUUUGCUGUCACUUAUAGAUGGAUCCGCGCCGCAUUAGCUGGUUGGUAAGGUAACGGCUUACCAAGGCAACGAUGCGUAGCCGACCUGAGAGGGUGAUCGGCCACACUGGAACUGAGACACGGUCCAGACUCCUACGGGAGGCAGCAGUAGGGAAUCUUCCGCGAUGGGCGAAAGCCUGACGGAGCAACGCCGCGUGAGUGAUGAAGGUCUUCGGAUCGUAAAACUCUGUUAUUAGGGAAGAACAAAUGUGUAAGUAACUAUGCACGUCUUGACGGUACCUAAUCAGAAAGCCACGGCUAACUACGUG
rnacentral:rRNA from 1 species